rnacentral:rRNA from 1 species
CCGUAGCCCAAGAGAUCGGGAUAACACAUGGAAACAGAUGCUAAUACCGGAUAACAACAGAUGAUGCCUAUCAACUGUUUAAAAGAUGGUUCUGCUAUCACUCUUGGAUGGACCUGCGGUGCAUUAGCUAGUUGGUAGGGUAACGGCCUACCAAGGCGAUGAUGCAUAGCCGAGUUGAGAGACUGAUCGGCCACAUUGGGACUGAGACACGGCCCAAACUCCUACGGGAGGCAGCAGGA